UACGGGGGGGCAAGCGUUGUUCGGAAUUACUGGGCGUAAAGGGCUCGUAGGCGGCCAACUAAGUCCGACGUGAAAUCCCCAGGCUUAACCUGGGAACUGCGUCGGAUACUGGAUGGCUUGAAUCCGGGAGAGGGAUGCGGAAUUCCAGGUGUAGCGGUGAAAUGCGUAGAUAUCUGGAGGAACACCGGUGGCGAAGGCGGCAUCCUGGACCGGCAUUGACGCUGAGGCGCGAAAGCUAGGGGAGCAAACGGG
rnacentral:rRNA from 1 species